CUCUGCAUGUAGAAGCAUGACUAAAGUUUGUUAGCACAGUAACAACUUUGGUUUACUACUUCAAAUCUGAACUCUUCUGCCAAAGCUUCACAGGUACAGGAAAUGUACAGAAAUUUGGUAUGGAUUGGUAGAGCACAAGCUGGUAGAUCAAGGAAGAAAAUUUCAUUUAUCCUUCUAUGUCACUUCAACUUUUGGAUGAUAAAGUUAAAUCUCUUCUUCUGAAUUUGUUCUGCUGUAACAGACUGAUGCCUGAGCAGGUGGGGAGGAAUGAUUGCUUCCUCACAAUUGAUGUGAUUCCAGUUUCACUGCAACCAGGUGAAGAGUAUGAGCUGCAUAAAAAGCAAAAUUCUGAGACAACAAAGUGAAAAAAAAAGUGAUCAACCAAGGAGAAUGGAGCAAAUCCUACUCCACAGAUGAAGACUUUACCAUCAGACCAGUUGUUCUUACAGUAACUGCCUUCAGGAUUUAAGUCAAGACCCCAGUAUGCUGCUCUGAAAACUGGUAAAAGAAAUGGUGAGCACCCUUCCUCUUUUCUUUUUGCCUUUGAAAAAUGCAAUUGACCUUUUAGAGAGCAGCCAUUCUUCCAGCUGCUCCUUUGCUGUGCUGCUGCCAACCAAAAUAUUCUAUACACACCUUUGCAAAAACCUACUGUUUACUUGCUCUGUGUGCGUAUAUCACCUAUUAUUAAAUGGGUUUUUUUUGCAGUAGCUAUGAGGGUGUGAUUUUCAUGAAUGGGCUUGUUUGCCUGCCACACUUGGCUGUUGAUAUUUCUAUUGAAAAAGUUCUGUCAGCUCUUUGUCUUUACAGGAAAUUGUUGUUUAUGAAGGUUUCCUUUCUUCUCAGAGAGGAGCAGGUCAGUGUGCAGUGUUGCUGUAGCAGUAUGUUUAGCCUCUGGGUGUUGCUCUUGGACAGCGCUGUUGUCAGACAGCAGACUGCUAUUUUGCAGAAGAGUUACUGAAGCUGCUUGUUGUUGGAUGAAGAGUGUCAAAAUGCAGAAUGUAAUAGGCAAGCAGCAGCACCAGGGAAAUUGGGGAACCCUCAGGUACAAUAAUAUAGUCCACAGCAGAUAGAAGAUACCCUUGGCAGGCUCAUGUUUGAUAUUAUUCUUGGUUUUCUGUCCUUAAACCAAAAUUAGAUUUUUUUUUUAAUGUGGAAUAGUGUGUAAGAUUCUCAUCCUCUUUUCAUUAUAAUUUGCUGAUUUUUUGAUUUCUGUGAAGUGUACAUAACCAAAGACAGUAAAAUAUAAAAA